UAGUCCACGCCGUAAACGAUGGAUACUCGGUGUUGCUGGGAUUUACCGGCAGUGCCUAAGCUAACGCAUUAAGUAUCCCACCUGGGGAGUACGAUCGCAAGGUUGAAACUCAAAGGAAUUGACGGGGGCCCGCACAAGCGGUGGAGCAUGUUGCUUAAUUCGAUGCAACGCGAGGAACCUUACCUGGGCUCGAACACUACCGGACAGUCCCUGAAAGGGGAUUUCCUUCGGGCUGGUAGUGAGGUGCUGCAUGGCUGUCGUCAGUUCGUGUCGUGAGAUGUUGGGUUAAGUCCCGCAACGAACGCAACCCCUAUCGUUAGUUACCAGCGGAUUAUGCCGGGGACUCUAGCGAGACUGCCUGCGCAAGCAGUGAGGAAGGUGGGGAUGACGUCAAGUCGUCAUGGGCCCUUAUGCCCAGGGGCUGCAAACGUGCUACAAUGGCCGGUACAAUGGGGC
rnacentral:rRNA from 1 species